rfam:Solanum tuberosum cultivar DM 1-3 516 R44 scf00155_17, whole genome shotgun sequence.
GUGCUUUGAUGAAAAAAUCUUGUGUCGGAGACUCUGGUCUGUGAUGGCUUACACAACCCUCUAAGAAGUUCUGAGCAC